CAAUGCGAAACUGGCUGGUGCUGCUGUGCCCGUGUGUGCUCGGGGCCGCGCUGCACCUCUGGCUGCGGCUGCGCUCCCCGCCGCCCGCCUGCGCCUCCGGGGCCGGCCCUGCAGAUCAGUUGGCCUUAUUUCCUCAGUGGAAAUCUACUCACUAUGAUGUGGUAGUUGGCGUGUUGUCAGCUCGCAAUAACCAUGAACUUCGAAACGUGAUAAGAAGCACCUGGAUGAGACAUUUGCUACAGCAUCCCACAUUAAGUCAACGUUUUGAAUCAGGAAAUUGAAGCGUUCAGUCUGUCCGAAGACACUUCAUCGGGGCUGCCUGAGGAUCGAGUUGUCAGCGUGAGUUUCCGAGUUCUCUACCCCAUCGUUAUUACCAGUCUUGGAGUGUUCUACGAUGCCAAUGAUGUGGGUUUCCAGAGGAACAUCACUGUCAAACUUUAUCAGGCAGAACAAGAGGAGGCCCUCUUCAUUGCUCGCUUCAGUCCUCCAAGCUGUGGUGUGCAGGUGAACAAGCUGUGGUACAAGCCCGUGGAACAAUUCAUCUUACCAGAGAGCUUUGAAGGUACAAUCGUGUGGGAGAGCCAAGACCUCCACGGCCUUGUGUCAAGAAAUCUCCACAAAGUGACAGUGAAUGAUGGAGGGGGAGUUCUCAGAGUCAUUACAGCUGGGGAGGGUGCAUUGCCUCAUGAAUUCUUGGAAGGUGUGGAGGGAGUUGCAGGUGGUUUUAUAUAUACUAUUCAGGGUAAGUUUGCUAGUUGAAACUUGAAAAGUACACUGAAUGUCUUAUACUUAAUCUUUAUACUUGAGAGAAAAGGAUUUUUUCUUUUUUGUCUUUUAAAAAACUUUAUUCAGAUAAAAUUCACCCUUUUAAAGUGGUUCAGUGGUUUUAGUGUAUUCUUAGAGUUCUACAACCGGCUCCACCUCCCAAAAGGAAACCCCACACCCAUUAGCAGUUACUCCUCAUUCUUACCUCCCCAACCCCCCACCCCCUAACAACUACUGAUGCACUUUCUUUCUCUAUGGAUUUGCCUGUUUUGAACAUUUCACAUAAAUGGAAAUGCACAGUACGUACUCUGUGUGUCAGUUUCUUUGCUGUAACAUGUGUUCCAGGUCUGUCCAUUUUGUAUGUAUCAGUACUUCUUUUUUAUGAUCAUAUAAUAUUCUAUUGCAUCGAUAUGCCCUAUUUUAUUCAUUCAUUAAUGGAUGGACAUUUAGAUUGCUUCUACUUUUUGAAUAUGAAUAAUUCUGUAGUAAACAUGUAGGUACAAGUUUUUGUGUGGUCAUAUAUUUCCAUUUCUCUUAAAUGUCUAGGAGUAGAAGACCUGGGUCAUAUAAUUGUGUGUUUAAUCACUUGAGGCACUGCCAGGUUGUUUUCUAAAGCAGCAGCCCACUUUACAUUUCCAUAGUCAGUAUAUGAGGAUUCUAGUUUCUCCAUAUUCUUGUCAACACUUAAUAAAUUGUCUGUCUUUUAAAAUAUACCAAUCCUAGUGGGUGUAAAUUGUUAUUUCAUUGUGAUUUUUAUUCGUAUUUCCAUAAUAACUAAUGAUGUUGAGCAUUUUCUUCAUGUGCUUAUUGGCCAUUUGUAUAUCUUCCUUUUUUGUUUCGUUGUUUUUCUUUUUUUCUGAGACGAGGCCUCACUCUGUUGCCCAGGCUGGAGUGCAGUGGCAUGAUCACAGCUCACUGUAGCCUUGACCUCCCCGGGCUCAAGUGAACUUCCCAUUUCAGCCUCCCGAAUAGCUGGGACUACAAGUGCAUGCCACCAUGCCCAGCUAAUUAUUAAAUGUUUUGUAGAGACAGGGUUUUGUCAUAUUGCUGAGGCUGCACACUGUUAACAGGGUGAAUUAUUAUGGUAUAUGAACUAGAUGUGGGAAGUGAGGGAGGGAGGAGGGGGAGGAAGUGAGGGAGGAAGGGGUGGAGAGAGGGAGAAGGUGGUGAGGGAGGGAGGGGUGGAGGGAAGAAGGGAGGAAAGGAGGGGAGAGAGAGUCAUUUGUAUAUCUUUAGAGAAAUAUCUAUUCAGAUCCUUUGCCCAUUUAUAAAAUUAUUUUAUUGUUGAAUUGUAAGAGUUCUUUAUAUAUGCUGGAUACAAGUCCCUUAUCAGAUACAUGCUUUGCAAAUGGUGCCCUUUAACACACAAAAGUUGUAAAUUUUGAUGAAGUCCAAUUUUGUCACAUGUUUUUGCUGUCAUAUGUAAGGAACUAUUGUCUAAUGUGAGGUCACAAAGAUUUGUGCCUUUGUUUUACAGUUCCAAGAGUUUUAUAGUUUUAGCACUUAUACGUAGGUCUUGGAUCCAUGUUCAUUUUCAUAUAUGGCAUGAAAUAGAGGUUUAACUUCAUUCUUUUGCAUGUGGAUAUCCAGUUGUCCCAGCACCCAUUUGUUGAAAAUCAGUGACUGUAGAUGUAAGGAUUUACUUGAGGACUCUCAAUUCUAUUCCAUUGAUCUAUGUGUCUGCGUCUUUAACCAGUACUACACUGUCUUGAUUAUGUAGCUUUUUAGUAAGAUUUGAAAUUGGGAGGCUGGGCACGGUGGCUCACUCCUGUAAUCCCAGCACUUUGGGAGCCCGAGGCAGGUGGAUCACGAGGUCAGGAGUUCGAGACCAGCCUGACCAACAUGGUGAAACCCUGUCUCUACUAAAAAUACAAAAAAAUUAGCCAGGCAUGGUGUCGGGCGCCUGUAAUCCCAGCUACUCCAGAGGCUGAGGCAGAAGAAUCGCUUGAACCUGGGAGGCAGAGGUUGCAUUGAGCUGAGAUUGCCACUGCAUUUCAUCCUGGGUGACAGCAAGACUCCGUCUCAAAAAAAAAAAAAAAAAAAAAAGAAAUUAGGAAAUGUGAAUCCUCCAACCUUGUUCUUUUUCAAGCUUGAUUGGCUAUUCUGGGUCUCUUGCACUUCCAUAUGAAUUUUAUGAUCAGCUUGUUAAUUUGUG
rnacentral:lncRNA from 10 species